rnacentral:rRNA from 1 species
AGUCUGGUGCCAGCAGCCGCGGUAAUUCCAGCUCCAAUAGCGUAUAUUAAAGUUGUUGCGGUUAAAAAGCUCGUAGUUGGAUCUCGGUUUCACUCAGGUGGUACACCUUGCGGUGUUCACUAUCUGGGUGGACGUUUCUGUUGGUUCGCUCUUGGUGCUCUUCAUCGGGUGCCAUUUGGUGGCCAGCACGUUACUUUGAAAAAAUUGGAGUGCUCAAAGCAGGCGUUACAGCCUGAACAUUAGUGCAUGGAAUAAUGGAAUAGGAUCUCGAUUCUAUUUCGUUGGCUUUCGGAGUCGAGGUAAUGAUUAAUAGGGACAGACGGGGGCAUUCGUACUGCGACGUUAGAGGUGAAAUUCUUGGAUCGUCGCAAGACGAACUACUGCGAAAGCAUUUGCCAAGAAUGUUUUCAUUAAUCAAGAACGAAAGUUAGAGGUUCGAAGGCGAUCAGAUACCGCCCUAGUUCUAACCAUAAACGAUGCCAACCUGCGAUCCGUCGUCGUUAAUUGAAUGACUCGACGGGCAGCCUCCGGGAAACCAGAGUGUUUGGGUUCCGGGGGAAGUAUGGUUGCAAAGCUGAAACUUAAAGGAAUUGACGGAAGGGCACCACCAGGAGUGGAGCCUGCGGCUUAAUUUGACCCAACACGGGAAAUCUCACCAGGCCCGGACACCGGAAGGAUUGACAGAUUGAGAGCUCUUUCUUGAUUCGGUGGGUGGUGGUGCAUGGCCGUUCUUAGUUGGUGGAGCGAUUUGUCUGGUUAAUUCCGAUAACGAACGAGACUCUGGCCUACUAACUAGAAGGUCUAUCCUUUAUGGGUAGGCCUCUGCUUCUUAGAGGGACGGGCGGCGUUUAGCCGCACGAGAAUGAGCAAUAACAGGUCUGUGAUGCCCUUAGAUGUUCUGGGCUGCACGCGCGCUACACUGAAGGAAUCAGCAUGUUCUCCCCUCCCUGAAAAGGGCGGGUAACCCGUUGAAACUCCUUCGUGAUGGGGAUUGGAGAUUGUAAUUAUUCUCCAUGAACGAGGAAUUCCCAGUAGGCGCGAGUCAUCAGCUUGCGUCGAUUACGUCCCUGCCCUUUGUACACACCGCCCGUCGCUACUACCGAUCGAGUGAUUUAGUGAGGACUUCGGACUGGUCUUCAAGUUGGCUUCGGUCGGCUCGAAGUUCCGGAAAGAUGCCCAAACUUGAUCACUUAGA